rnacentral:rRNA from 1 species
ACGCUCGACACCUACGGGAGCAGCAGUGGGGAAUAUUGCACGAAUGGGGGAAACCCUGAUGCAGCGACGCCGCGUGAAGGAAGAAGUAUUUCGGUAUGUAAACUUCUAUCAGCAGGGAAGAAGAAAGUGACGGUACCUGACUAAGAAGCCCCGGCUAACUACGUGCCAGCAGCCGCGGUAAUCUGAGCGGGCUGGCAAGGC